ACGGGAGGCAGCAGUGAGGAAUAUUGGUCAAUGGACGAGAGUCUGAACCAGCCAAGUAGCGUGCAGGAUGACGGCCCUAUGGGUUGUAAACUGCUUUUGUACGGGAAUAAAGUGACCUACGUGUAGGUUUUUGCAUGUACCGUAAGAAUAAGGACCGGCUAAUUCCGUGCCAGCAGCCGCGGUAAUACGGAAGGUCCAGGCGUUAUCCGGAUUUAUUGGGUUUAAAGGGAGCGUAGGCGGAUUAUCAAGUCAGUGGUAAAAUCGUGUGGCCCAACCAUACCUCGCCAUUGAAACUGUUAGUCUUGAGUGCACGCAGGGAUGCUGGAAUUCGUUGUGUAGCGGUGAAAUGCUUAGAUAUGACGAAGAACUCCGAUCGCGAAGGCAGGUGUCUGGAGUGCAACUGACGCUGAGGCUCGAAAGUGCGGGUAUCAAACAGGAUUAGAUACCCUGGUA
rnacentral:rRNA from 1 species